UCUUCAAUUGAUCAAUGACAACCGCAGUCUCCGGCUUGAGGAGAAGGGAGGCUCACACCCAGCACUCCUGGACCAUUUCCCUAGCAACGGGAGGAGAAAGGCAGCUCAGACACACGCGUGCCCCGGCGCCCUCCCGGAACGUGCCCCGGCCCGGUGGCGUGGCAGGAGCUCGGCAUCUUCCCGUGGCUCCGUCAGCAGCCAAAAGGAGAAGCGUCCAUCGGAAAAAUGGCAUAUUACAAAUUUUGCUUUGGGAAGCAAAGCUCGGUUCAGACCAUUGUCAAAGGAGGAGAGGGGGAGGCGGCUCUUAAAGCAGCCGCGGCCCCUUUGCCAGGAACAAGGGCUUCCCCUGGAAGCUGCUGCAGUGGUUUCCACCGGCCCUUAAAUAAAUUCUGAAGUAAUCACGUCUUUGCUCUCCUCCUCACGCACACGCGCCCGCGGAUACAC
rnacentral:lncRNA from 1 species